rnacentral:tRNA from 1 species
GCGCUUGGUGGCAAUUUUAGCGGAAACUUUUGGUCUUCGGAACCGAGGGUUGGGGGUUCGAAUCCCUUCGGGCGUA